AGGCGGGGGAAGAAAGCGGAAGCCGCGGGGCCUUCUAAGUCCGAAAGUCUCCGGAGCUUGCGCCAGGCUCUUCGCGGCGUCCACCACUUAGACGCAAGUUGCUGAAGCCGGCUGGGGAGAAGGCGUUGUUGCCGGAGCUGAGACCGGGCGGCCACAGUCCGCAGGGAUGAACCUCGAGUUGCUGGAGUCCUUUGGGCAGAACUAUCCAGAGGAAGCUGAUGGAACUUUGGAUUGUAUCAGCAUGGCUUUGACUUGCACCUUUAACAGGUGGGGCACACUGCUUGCAGUUGGCUGUAAUGAUGGCCGAAUUGUCAUCUGGGAUUUCUUGACAAGAGGCAUUGCUAAAAUAAUUAGUGCACACAUCCAUCCAGUGUGUUCUUUAUGCUGGAGCCGAGAUGGUCAUAAACUCGUGAGUGCUUCCACUGAUAACAUAGUGUCACAGUGGGAUGUUCUUUCAGGCGACUGUGACCAGAGGUUUCGAUUCCCUUCACCCAUCUUAAAAGUCCAAUAUCAUCCACGAGAUCAGAACAAGGUUCUCGUGUGUCCCAUGAAAUCUGCUCCUGUCAUGUUGACCCUUUCAGAUUCCAAACAUGUUGUUCUGCCGGUGGACGAUGACUCCGAUUUGAACGUUGUGGCAUCUUUUGAUAGGCGAGGGGAAUAUAUUUAUACGGGAAACGCAAAAGGCAAGAUUUUGGUCCUAAAAACAGAUUCUCAGGAUCUUGUUGCUUCCUUCAGAGUAACAACUGGAACAAGCAAUACUACGGCCAUUAAGUCAAUUGAGUUUGCCCGGAAGGGGAGUUGCUUUUUAAUUAACACAGCAGAUCGAAUAAUCAGAGUUUAUGAUGGCAGAGAAAUCUUAACAUGUGGAAGAGAUGGAGAGCCUGAACCUAUGCAGAAAUUGCAGGAUUUGGUGAAUAGGACCCCAUGGAAGAAAUGUUGUUUCUCUGGGGAUGGGGAAUACAUCGUGGCAGGUUCUGCCCGGCAGCAUGCCUUGUACAUCUGGGAGAAGAGCAUUGGCAACCUGGUGAAGAUUCUCCAUGGGACGAGAGGAGAACUCCUCUUGGAUGUAGCUUGGCAUCCUGUCCGACCCAUCAUAGCAUCCAUUUCCAGUGGAGUGGUAUCUAUCUGGGCACAGAAUCAAGUAGAAAACUGGAGUGCAUUUGCACCAGACUUCAAAGAAUUGGAUGAAAAUGUAGAAUACGAAGAAAGGGAAUCAGAGUUUGAUAUUGAAGAUGAAGAUAAGAGUGAGCCUGAGCAGACAGGGGCUGAUGCUGCAGAAGAUGAGGAAGUGGAUGUCACCAGCGUGGACCCUAUCGCUGCCUUCUGUAGCAGUGAUGAAGAGCUGGAAGAUUCAAAGGCUCUAUUGUAUUUACCCAUUGCCCCUGAGGUAGAAGACCCAGAAGAAAAUCCUUACGGCCCCCCACCGGAUGCAGUCCAAACCUCCUUGAUGGAUGAAGGGGCUAGUUCAGAGAAGAAGAGGCAGUCCUCAGCAGAUGGGUCCCAGCCACCUAAGAAGAAACCCAAAACAACCAAUAUAGAACUUCAAGGAGUACCAAAUGAUGAAGUCCAUCCACUACUGGGUGUGAAGGGGGAUGGCAAAUCCAAGAAGAAGCAAGCAGGCCGGCCUAAAGGAUCAAAAGGUAAAGAGAAAGAUUCUCCAUUUAAACCGAAACUCUACAAAGGGGACAGAGGUUUACCUCUGGAAGGAUCAGCGAAGGGUAAAGUGCAGGCGGAACUCAGCCAGCCCUUGACAGGUAAGGACACAUUGGGAGCAUUGUCUGGCUUGCUUCGUGGCCUUGCUUUGUAUAGCCCUUGACUUCAUUUAACUGCAACAUUUUUUCCCCCUCCCUUUUCUCCUUUUUCCCAGCAGCAGGUAAUUUCUGAAUUUUAAGCUGCUGCUAAGGGCAGGCUAAACCAGAUUUGGCUUAAUUCAGUGGCUCUUAACCUUGGGUCUGUAAAUAGUUUUCAAUAAAUCUACAUUCCCCUAGUGUUAUAUGCAAAAUAUUAUGUGAAUAUUUUUCUGGGGAAGAUGUCCAUAGCUUUCAUCAGAUUCCUGUAGGAAUUCAUGACCCAAAGAAGGGUAAGAACCUCUGGUUUAAUUCAUUUCUUCAUUCGUAUUUGCUCUUAGGUUUUUUGUUUGUUUUGUCUCAAAGAGCCAGACAAGUAGCCAGAAGUACAAGCUUGUUUUAUAUAGUCCUUGACUGGUUCACUGUAGCAUUUUUUCUCUCCCUCUUCAAAUUGUUCAAAUCCCACAGGUAGUGCUUUCUCUCUCUUAGUAGUCCAGAAGCAGUAAUGAAAUUGUUAGUAGUACCAUCGUGUUAAGGAAGAAGAUGGGGUUUGUUUUGGUUUUUGAUUUUUUUCCAAUAUCUGAAAACAGGAGGAGAUGAUCAAAAAGACAGAAACUACAGUAUCUGUGUAGUUUCUUAACACCUGAGCCUUUUGAUGCAUAAUAUUUGAGUUUUCUCACUUUUAUAUUACUGAGGGAUUUUUAUUGGGGGACAGAAAACAAUUUCUGUUUCUUACCAAAUACUUGUGAGCCUAGGCUAAUUGGUCUCUUGUUUAGAAAAUGUUAAAUUAGAAUCCAUUUCUGUGUAAACAUUGGGCUUUGGAAAUUGUUUUUUUUGCUUUAGUUAAUACAGUAUUCUCAAUUUUUUUGUGGCUAGUUUGGUAGACUGAAAGAUAGGAUUGAUAACGUAUCAGUGGUUGUAUUCAGGCUCCCCCCGACUUUAAAAUUUUAAUCUAAAUGUGUGGACUAGAGUGCAAAACAGAAUUCUUUGUUUAAUUUAUAACUUACAUCAUUUAAUCAUUGUCUGUAAACAUGAAUUCUCUUACAGAGAAGCUGAAAUAGACAGUUACUCAUCAUUUUGAGUAUUCCACCUCGAGUUUACUAGAUUUAGACUUUAGUUUUUGAUAGCCCAACUCCAUACCACUGAGUACCAAUAUUUUUUUCCCAACAACAUUUAUGGUGGUGCACUGAUGGUUACCACGUCCACGUUCAACCCACCUAAGGCUGUGUUUGUGUAUAUAUACAUAUAAUGCUGUGUGUGUGCGUGUAUAUAUAUAUAUUUUGUGUGUUUUUUUUUUUUUUGUUUUUGUUUUUGAGAUGGAGUUUCACUCUUGUCCCCAGGCUGAAUUGCAGUGGCGCUAUCUCAGCUCACUGCAAACCUCUGCCUCCUGGUUCAAGUGAUUCUCUUGCCUAGCUUCCCGAGUAGCUGGGAUUACAGGCGUGCGCCACCAUGCUCGGCCAAUUUUGUAUUUUUUUAGUAGAGACGGGGUUUCACUAUGUUGGUCAGGCUGAUCUUGAACUCCUGACAUCAAGUGAUCCACCCGCCUCGUCUUCCCAGAGUACUGGGAUUACAGGUGUGAGCUAUCACUCCUGGCAUGUUUGUAUAUAUUGUAAAGUAGCCUGGAGCAGUCGUGGGCAUGACCAACAAAGAUUGCAGAUUGACUAGAUGUAAAUAAAAACAAUCCUUCCAAACCCACUUCUUGCACACACUUAUGCCACUACAGAAGAAAUGCAAUUUAAAGUUUAAAUAGAUUUCCCUGGCCUGGAGAGCUAAAAUAUUUUAAGGGUGAUUUAAAAUGUGGCCAAACAUAAUCAAUUAAAACACUUUAGGACAUAAUCUCCUAGCUUCUUAAAACCUGUCUAUCCCUAAUCAUGUGCUUUUCAAAAGGAAAUCAUGGUAAAUAAGGCUCAUGCCUGUAAUUCUAGCACUUUGGGAGGUUGAGGCAGGAGGAUUUCUUGAGCCCAGGAGUUCAAGACCAGCCUGGGCAACAUGGUGAGACCCCAUCUCUGUAAAAGCCAACCAAACAAACAAGAAAAAACCUUGAGCUGGGUGCAUAUAAUCCCAGCACUUUGAGAGGCCAAGACAGGAGGAUUGCUUGAGCCCAGGAGUUUGAGACCAGCCUGGGAAACAAAAUAAUCAAAAAAUUAGCCAGGCGUGGUGGUGCACACCUGUGGCCCACCUGGUAACAUAGGAAGCUGAGGCAGGAGGAUCGCUUGAGCCCAGGAGUUUGAUAUUGCAGUGAGCUAUGAUCACGCCGUUGCACUCCAGCCUGGGCAACAGAGUGAGACCGUGUCUCAGACAAAAAUAAAACCAGCCAGGUGCAAUGGCUCAUGCCUGUAAUCCCAGCACUUUGGGAGGCUGAGGCAGUCAGAUUGCUUGAGCCCAGGAAUUCGAGAGAAGCCUGGGCAACAUAGUGAGACCCUGUCUCUACAAAAGAAAAAAAAUAAUUAAAAAACAAACCCCAAAAACCUCAAAGGGGCAUUGAGGUAUAGUUCCAAGACUUCCACAGAAGGAUUACAUCUGGCUUUAUUGACCAGCUGCAGAGUGGUUUGGAUCUUUGUGAAGGCUGAAAAUUUUGGGGAGAGUGAUGAAAUUGGAUAUCACAGAUAAUUCCAUCAAAAGUCUGUUUUAGGGCAACCUAUCAUGUUUUUAUAUGGGAUUGUUUGGGUGAGGGUAGGGCUUUAUCCAGUAACGUGGUCGUCUUGGAGGGCUCUGAGCAAGCUAAGUCAGACUAGUACCUGCUGCUGAUUUGCAUAUGGCCCAUCAAGACCACUCAGGGAAACUGGCAUUUGGAUCUCAUAUUCUUCCACACCUUGGAGAUUUUCAAUAAAAGCCAGUAUAUAGUCAUUGUAGAUUUUCCACAGGUAUUAAGAAAGGAAACCUGAUGCAAAACUUCUGAGGCCAAACCGUCUUCAAAAAUCACUCCGGUCUGAGGGUUGUAUAUGUAGAUUCAAGGUUUUGGCCCCCUGCCCCAUGGACAAUUUCUGCAUUUGAGCCAAAUCAUUCGAAGGCAGGAUUAUAGUUGUAGGCUGUGUUACUACCCAAGUUAGAUGAAUGACAACUGUUUGUUAAUAUCUGUAGUUGACCAGUUAUUGCAGAAACUGUUCCAUAAACUGAUUAGCCCUAACAAAGCUACCAUAGUCUGUUGUCUGUUGCAACAGGAAAAUAUGCAUUUCAAGGGAAAAUUGGCAGACAGACCACUAUAGAGAUAAUCUGGCCAUCUGGAAUCUGGGGCUAUAGAAAAUUCUUUCCUGUCAGCUUGUCAGUGUUGGCUAGCACUAGAGGGCCCACAUUGAUGUGGACAUUUUUCUGUGUGAGUGAGGACCCAAAGUGAAGCUUGGUGAGGGUAACCCUGAGCUUGGGACUUUUUGGAAGGACCAGGCUAACAUAGUCUGCACUAUCUAUCAAAUGCUUCUUAGUUACUUUAGAUACUCUCCAGAGGACAGUCCUGAGACCAGAAACUUGAGAUGUGAGCAGAAUCACCAGUUUCCUAGUUGUCUGUGAUUGCUCAAGGAUUGCCCAAGAGCUAGGGCUCCUUGGCAGUAAAAACAUCAGUAAUAAAGUGGGACAAAGGUGUGGUCGGUUACAUACAUGUUCUAAAGGCCUCAUGGGAUGGUAGACAUGAAGGGGUUGGUGCACACCUGGGUCUGCUGGAGAUGGCAAGGGCCAAAGUGAGCAGAAGCGACAUUUCUGGGAGUGGACAGGCACCAUGCAGAUUUCCUUGUCUUGGGCUGCACUACACCACUGCCCUGGUGCCAGCCCAUCACCCUAGGGCUCUGAACCACCUCCAAGUCACUUACUGAAUCUAUGAUUUUUUUUUUUUUUUUUUUAAUGCUUGAUAGUUUUGUUUUCUUUUUUUUCUCUCUCUUUGUUUUUCUCUCCCCUCCCUCCCUCCCUUCCUUCUUUUCCUUCCUUUCCUUGUGAAGACUAAUUUAUGAAUUCCUGCUAGAAUCAGCGUAGUCUUUCUCACUCUGUGGGAUGUUAUUAACUAACUAAAGUAGGGUUUGAAAUCAUGAUCCAGUGUUCUCUUAGGCCAACCUAGAUUGGGCUGCUACUGGAAAGUACCAAUAAUAGCUGGUCAUUUUGAGCUGAAUUUUCCUACCUAUUACAUUCCUGGAGAUUUCCUUUAUGUUGCAGCUAAAUAAUAUGUUUCCUUGGGGGCAGUUGCUGCGUCAGGUCUUUAAAUUGGCUGGAGUCCUCUGUAUUGCUAUUUCUGUGUAUCUUAUCUUGCUCAUAGUACUGCUUGCUCUGGUUUUGAUUUGUUGCCUGAUGCCUCAACAAGCUUUUGUUUUGUUUGACUUUUAUUUAUUUAUUUUGUCUAUUCAGAAAAACAAGGACGGUAUAGAAACAUGAGCUGCCCUCAGCUAACCAGUAUAAGGUAGCUCAUUAGUCAUCUUGAGUGCCCAUUACUAAUGCUGUUGAUUAGUGAUCAAGCCACUUUCUCCUAUUAUGAUUUAGGUUUAAAAUGGCAAUGUUGUAUUCAUGUUUAAACGAUUACAACCAAAUUGGUCAGGGUACCUGUGGGAAUAGUUGGUGGAAAUUGCCUUAAAGUGGUAAGGCAUGAUAUUGAGUCUUGUGGAGUGGAUUUUUCUAUCUCAGGAGGUUUUUUAAAAAUCAGUGCGGCUGGGUACAGUGGCUCACGCUUGUAAUCCCAGCACUUUGGGAGCCAAGGCGGGCGGAUCACGAGGUCAGGAGAUCGAGACCACGGUGAAACCCCGUCUCUACUAAAAAUACAAAAAAUUAGCCGGGCGUGGUGGCGGGCGCCUGUAGUCCCAGCUACUCGGAGAGGCUGAGGCAGGAGAAUGGCGUGAACCCGGGAGGCGGAGGUUGCAGUGAGCCGAGAUCGCGCCACUGCACUCCAGCCUGGGUGACAGAGCGAGACUCCGUCUCAAAAAAAAAAAAAAAAAAAAAAAAAAAAAAAAAAAAAAAUCAAA